rnacentral:rRNA from 1 species
AGCAUAUCAAUAAGCGGAGUAAAAGAAACCAACAGGGAUUGUCUUAGUAACGGCGAGUGAAGCGACAAAAGCUCAAAUUUGAAAUCUGGCACCUUCGGUGUCCGAGUUGUAAUUUGAAGAAGGUAACUUUGGAGUUGGCUCUUGUCUAUGUUCCUUGGAACAGGACGUCACAGAGGGUGAGAAUCCCGUGCGAUGAGAUGUCCAACUCUAUGUAAAGUGCUUUCGAAGAGUCGAGUUGUUUGGGAAUGCAGCUCUAAGUGGGUGGUAAAUUCCAUCUAAAGCUAAAUAUUGGCGAGAGACCGAUAGCGAACAAGUACAGUGAUGGAAAGAUGAAAAGAACUUUGAAAAGAGAGUGAAAAAGUACGUGAAAUUGUUGAAAGGGAAGGGUUUGAGAUCAGACUUGGUAUUUUGUAUGUCUUGCUUUCGGGUGGGGCCUCUGCAGUUUACUGGGCCAGCAUCGGUUUGGACGGUAGGAUAAUGACAUUGGAAUGUGGCACUACUUCGGU